rnacentral:rRNA from 1 species
AGGGUUUGAUUCUGGCUCAGGAUAAACGCUAGCGGCAGGCCUAACACAUGCAAGUCGCGGGGCAGCAUAACAAUUAGCAAUAAUCGUUGAUGGCGACCGGCGCACGGGUGCGUAACACGUAUGUAACCUGGCCUUUACAGGGGGAUAGUCAGAGGAAACUUUGAAUAAUACCCCAUAACACACCAUUAAGGCAUCUUAUAGGUGUUAAAGGAGCGAUCCGGUAAAGGAUGGACAUGCGACCGAUUAGACAGUUGGUGAGGUAACGGCUCACCAAAUCCACGAUCGGUAGGGGGUCUGAGAGGACUACCCCCCACACUGGUACUGAGAUACGGACCAG